GUGCCAGUCGCCGCGGUAAUACCGGCAGCCCGAGUGAUGGCCGAUCUUAUUGGGCCUAAAGCGUCCGUAGCUGGCUGCGCAAGUCCGUCGGGAAAUCCACUCGCCCAACGAGUGGGCGUCCGACGGAAACUGCACAGCUUGGGACCGGAAGGCUCGAAGGGUACGUUCGGGGUAGGAGUGAAAUCCCAUAAUCCCGCACGGACCACCGAUGGCGAAAGCACUUCGAGAAAACGGAUCCGACAGUGAGGGACGAAAGCCAGGGUCUCCAACCGGAUUAGAAACCCGAGUAGUCC
rnacentral:rRNA from 1 species